UGGAGCCGCGCUGCUGCAAGGCGGCUGUGGUGGAGAGGAUUGUGGAGCUCAUUGAGGAGCUUCCUAAAGACUCUGCACCCAGCGAGAUCCUCGCCAGCUGCCUGGCUGCUGUGGGCAACCUCACCACCAUGAAACCAGCCCUUGAGCCUGAGCUAGAGUCCCGCCUCUUGCAAGCUGCCCUUGGCU